AUUAGACAGAGUUUGGGCCAUGCAAAUGACGGGAGUUUCCUGGGAGAAAUAACAAACCGGGAAACGUCCGGGAGAUAAAAAAUCGGCAGCAACAACCGGGGAAAACCGGGAGUGUUGACAGAUGCUGUUUACAAAUGGAUGCUGGUGAAUGCUCCAGAUGGAGAGACUGUUAGAAAUCAAGCCUCCCCUGCUGCUCAUCUUGGAGCUCUGGCUUCCAUCCCGUGGUUGUCACACCGCAGAGAGGAGCAUCUCCAGGGCUGGCGUAUAGGCUCUGCACACUGUGACCCAGAUACACAGCAGCGCACCCAGAACACAACCUGUCUCUCUGACUUCCCAUUCCUCCCUUCCCCUCAGACACGAAGCCUGCUGUGAUCCCUGAACAGUGAACACCCACUGGCCUUGGAGAUGGUUGUUAAGAUGAACAUAAUUUACCGCAUCACUGCGU